UACAUGUGGGGCAAGCGUUGUUCGGAAUUACUGGGCGUAAAGCGUGCGCAGGCGGUUUUGUAAGACAGGCGUGAAAUCCCCGAGCUUAACUUGGGAAUGGCGCUUGUGACUGCAAGGCUAGAGUAUGUCAGAGGGGGGUAGAAUUCCACGUGUAGCAGUGAAAUGCGUAGAGAUGUGGAGGAAUACCGAUGGCGAAGGCAGCCCCCUGGGACGUCACUGACGCUCAUGCACGAAAGCGUGGGGAGCAAACAGG
rnacentral:rRNA from 1 species